GACCACUUCUUAUGAAGUUAAGCCCAGACGGACAGGCGGGUCGGCUGCCGA
rnacentral:sRNA from 1 species